UCAUUAAUGAAACGAACGUCGAGAAGGGUUGUAGCUGGCCUUUUGGGGCAUGUGCACGCCUUGAUCGCAUGUCUACCUCUCACACCUGUGCACUAUGUGUAGCUUGGGGAUGAUCACGACGUUAGAAAUGAUGUCGAAAGCUCUAGCUAUGAUUUUUUUUAUAAACCCACGUAUGUUACAGAACGGAUGAUGUUAUAGUGCGUAACAGCACGAAUAUAUACAACUUUCAGCAACGGAUCUCUUGGCUCUCGCAUCGAUGAAGAACGCAGCGAAAUGCGAUAAGUAAUGUGAAUUGCAGAAUUCAGUGAAUCAUCGAAUCUUUGAACGCACCUUGCGCUCCUUGGUAUUCCGAGGAGCAUGCCUGUUUGAGUGUCAUGAAAUUCUCAACUGCCUUCUUAGCAUUUAUGUUGAGGGGGUGAAGUUGGAGUUGGAGGAUAACUGCUGGCGCAACUCAGGUUGCUUGUUGGCUCCUCUUAAAUGGAUGAGCUUUUCUGAUGGAUCAUGGCUCGGUAACACUAAUGUGAUAACUGUCUACGUUAGAUGUGAACGCCAUGAGCAGAGCGACUUUGAAGCUCCUACGGAAAAGGACGUUUUUUGACUUGUAACAAAUCUGACCUC
rnacentral:rRNA from 1 species